UCGUACUGGUCGGGGUGGUAGCGGUACCCUGUAGCCCUCAAUCCGCUAUAGAGGGGACGAUCUCCUUUAGGAGGGAGCUUUAAGUGUAUGGCAGGCUUAUAUCAAGGGCUGUGACGGUCUGGUCCUGCGCAAUGGCGAGCCGUGAACCUUGUCAGGUGGGGAACCAAGCAGCAAUAAGCGGUGUCCGUCAUGUGCCGCGGGGGCGCCUGACCUGAGCUUUUUGAUAUAAAUACCGCAUACAUUUAAGUUCCCGACUAAAGGAUGUACGA
rnacentral:SRP_RNA from 1 species